UACAGAGGGUGCGAGCGUUGUCCGGAAUCACUGGGCGUAAAGGGCGCGUAGGUGGCCCGACAAGUCCGUGGUGAAAGCUCGACGCUCAACGUCGAGUCGGCCAUGGAUACUGGUUGGGCUGGAGCACUGUAGAGGCUCAUGGAAUUCCGGGUGUAGCGGUGGAAUGCGUAGAGAUCCGGAAGAACACCGGUGGCGAAGGCGGGUGAGCUGGGCAGUUGGCUGAC
rnacentral:rRNA from 1 species